rnacentral:tRNA from 1 species
GAGGGCGUGCGCGUAUCGGGUGCACGCUAAGCGGAAGAUACCCGCUGAUCUGGGUUCAAAUCCCAGUGCCCCCACCA